AAUGUUUGUACCUAGUAUUAGAAAAAUAAAUAAUGACUAUUCCUGCAUAUAAAGAAAAUAACUAAAAUUCCAAAAAAAAAUGAAAAAAAUCAAACAAAAUAUAUUAACAUUAAUAUCAAAUCUACUUUCUCAACAUAUAUUUGGGUUUUAAUUAAUGUGAAUUGAUGACUUAAGGAAACUGAAAGCCACCAAUACCUUGUACAGGAUUACCUUGUUGUGGAUUUAUAGCAAUCCAUAACAAGGAAAGUGUAAUUGCAAUAAGUCCUGACCAAACAAACACAAUUGUUGGUGUUUUUCUUCUUCUGCCCAUUAAUCCUUUAGCAAAAGGAUAUAAAUGAGCUAAAACCCAAAAAGCAAAGAAAGCUCCACCUAUAAAUUUUCCCCAUUCUGGAACUGUAGCAAACACUGCCCUGGAAAAUGCAAUCACAAUAGCAAUAAUGUUAAUCAUGCCAAUAACUAUAGGUGGGAUCAUCAAUGAAGUCCAUUUAACCAAGUAUAAAUCGGCGUAGAUGUCGUCGACGUACCAAUAACUAUAGGUGGGAUCAUCAAUGCAGUCCAUUUAACCAAGUAUAAAUCGGCGUAGAUGUCGUCCACGUCUUCUCCAGCAGAUUUAGAAGUCAGUGUGAAUG
rnacentral:lncRNA from 1 species